rnacentral:snRNA from 3 species
UCCCACAGAGUUGAUUUCAUCUCGUAUUAAUCUUUCGCCUUUUACUAAAGAUUACCGUGGAAUCGACUCAACUAAAUGUGGCUUCAACCAAUUUCUGGACCCUCCCUUUGGGAGGGAGCU